GAUCUGAUAGCAUAAUUGGGUAGUGCACCUGCUGGAAAUAUUUGUUAAUUCUGCAUAAAGCAGGAGAUCUCCGUUCGAUCCGGGGUCAGGUCA